CUUUCUGUCAAAACCCUAAUCAAUCUCGCCCCUUAUAAAUAUCAUUCCAAAAGAAAACCCUAAUUAUGCAAAAGUGCCAUUUCUUGUUUUCCCGGCGCAACAAAAUGUCGAAGCCAGGACGAAUUGGUUAUGCUGGAAAUAAGUUCAGAAUAUCACUCAGUCUGGUGAGCUGUGGAGAUGAUAGGCUAAUAAUUUUUAUGAUCUAAAGAUUAUUAGUCUACCGCUGACACAGCUCACCACAGCUACCCUAGCAGGCUACCCUAGCAGACUGAGUGACAAGCUUUGCCUCAGCAGAAGGCAACAACAACACCCAUACCAGACAGAAACUUAUAAUAGAGAACCAGGAGUUGUUACCCAGACAUUAGUAAGGUGUCCUGAUCAACAAACUAUGGUUGAUACAGUUACAGGUCUGCGAUGACCUUUUUGUCAUGUUUACAUCUGCUUGGGGCUCUACAGUCAUGUCAGCAAGCUCCAAUGGUGGAAACCUAUCAGAACAACUUCUUUCCAAGAACCCCUGCUGUAACCCCCAUUGGCUUAAUAUGGGAGAGAUGAGCUUCUGGACUAUCAAUUUUCUUAGAGGCAUGGCUCUGGUGUAUUAUUUUCAAUCCUGGGCUUAUGACAUUUUUAUCAACAAUAUUCUCUUAAUACAAUUAUCCAUUUCAUGCUUCUUCUUUUUGGGUAAUUUUGAGCCUUGAAUUGCAUACCAGAUUUUUGUACCAAUUAUUUUCAUAUUUGACCCACUUUCUGUUUGUUCUGGAAUAAUGGUCAGAAGGGAGACAGUGAUGUUGUUUUCAUCUUUUAGUUCAGAAAAUAGACAUUAGUAAGAGCCUUAGUCCUGGCAAGGUAAUUCAGUGAUGUUGUCAAAAUAUCAUUAUCCUUUAUACGAUGUUGUCAAAGUAUCAUUAUCCUUUAUACAAAUGCUGAUGAUGCAGCCAUGGUGAGGCUCUUCUCUUCUGUCUCUUGCCUGUGUAAAGAUGAAUCUGAGUCUCUUUUCUGAAACCCUGCUAUUAGGGUUAUACUCAUGAGUCAUUAGUUUAAGUAUGAGGCUCCACUCUUUGAGAGAAGGUUGUCUUGAUAGCUGUUGCCCUCUUGAAGUUGGUUAGCCAAUGAUCAUUAUAAUUGAAUUUCCAAACAGCUCUCCACAUACAUACACGCACACAAACAUGUAUUUCUUUCUGCUUCUAUUGGGAAAACAACAGCAACUACUUCUUCUUCUUCUUCUUCUUGCUAUUACGAGGCAAUGAUGAUGUUUUCUGCAAUUAAAUCAGAUAUGAGUGAAGAGCUGUGUCCUGGCUAGGUGACUCGGUGUCUGUGUGAAAUUGACCUUCUGGUUGCACAGAUGCUAUUGACGCAGCCUGUGCACAAGCCAUUCCUUUGCUGUCUGAAAAAAGGCGAAUCUGAGCCUCCUUUAUUCAUAAUAAUUUUAACUUUCUGACAUAAUUAUAAAUUUGUAUUUUUCUUCUGAAUGCUUUAAUAUGGCAGGUUAUAGGAACACAUUCAUUGUUCACCCAUAUAACCGAAGCUUUUUAUUGCACCAAUGUUUCUGCAUUUGUAUGUGACUUGGGGAGUGUGGCUGAAAAGUGACCUUUUUGAGCAUUUGAUACUUCUACCCUCGGUGAAGAAUCAGUAUGCAUCAUGGCAGUUACCGGAAGUAAUCUUUAUUGGUUUACUCAUCGAGAUGAGGUUCAAAUAAUUAAACAAGUGAUUCUUCACUUUUCUUCAUUUUCAUUUCCCUCCUGUAGUUGUUCUAUAGUGAUGCACAUGGUUAAUCCAAAUAUAUUUAAAUUAACUUGCGUUUUGGUCAAAUAGGAUUCAUGAGGAACCUAUUUGCUCCAUUAAUAUGCAUCUGAUUCAAGUUGAUUCUUUCAAAGGGAGAGAAAUGAGAGGACUUGCUUGCUAAUUUUUUGGUUUUAAACUCUUCUGCAAUCUUGAAAAGGAUGUGUUGUUUUAGAACCUGAGGCUGAUUUUUGUCCUAGAACUGCAAGGUCGCCAAUCAUUGUUCAAUUGUUCAAUUUUUGAAUCAAUUUUAGGCAGGGGGAACGUUUGCUGUUCAUGAAACUUUUUUAAUGAAAGUAGUGGCGAUGCAGCCUAAAAAGGAUUAUGAUGACAUA